rnacentral:rRNA from 1 species
AGUGAACGCUGGCGGCGUGCUUAACACAUGCAAGACGAACGAGAACGGAUUAUAGCUUGCUAUAAUUGUAAGCUAAGUGGCGCACGGGUGAGUAAUGUAUAGGUAAUAUGCCUCUUACUAAGGGAUAACAAAUGGAAACGUUUGCUAAUACCUUAUACUCCUUAUUAACAUAAGUUAAUAAGGGAAAGAUUUAUUGGUAAGAGAUUAACCUGUACUGUAUCAGUUAGUUGGUGGGGAAUGGUUUACCAAGACUACGACACAUAACUGGUUUGGUGGCCUGGUCGGCCACACUGGAGUUGAGACACGUUCCAUACUCCUACUGGAGGCAGCAUUGGGGAAUAUUGCCGAAUGGACGAAAAUCUGAUGCAGCAUCGCCGCGUCGAGGAUGACACAUUUCGGUGCGUAAACUCCUUUUAUAUGAGAAGUUGAUUAUGGUAUUAUAUGCAUAAGCACCGGCUAACUCCCUUCAAGACGCCGCAGUAA